UCCAGGCAGGUCGGAUUUCUCACAGAAACCAGAGGUUCUAAAAGGCAGAAACCACCGCAUGCCGGCUUGUGUGUGCACCACCGUCCUUGGCCACCACAGCGCAUCCUGAGAAUGCAGACUGAGUGCUGAGCGGCCCGAGAGCAUCGCCUUCCGCAGGCCUGGCUGUGAGAGUCCGGACCACGCCAGCGUUGUCCUGAGCGAACACAGUAGGCUGAAAAAAUCUCCAAUGCACGGUUGUUGCUAAAACGGCACUGAAACCGAUUUGGGGGGGGAAUUCAACAUUCAGAACCCGACCCCUUGGCCGCUUCAGGCAGAAACCUGUGUCGAAGCUGUGAGUGAAGAUAACAAUAGCAACCGCAUCCUUAAUUAGCACUGAAAGCAGCUACCGAGGGAUGCUGGCGCUCGGGAACCCUUCUCUGGGUCCCCAAUCACGCACUGCCGCGAGCCAGAAUUCCAGAAGCAGAAGCAGAGUUCUCCGACCAAUGGCAUGCUUCACGGUUCGUCCAUCGACAGCUCUCCCUCUUUUCGGGUCAAUUAUUCACUGCGAAGAUUUAAACUGGCCUCCGAGCACAGGAGAAGCAAUUGAGGCCCAGCUGCAACCAUUUUUCGCUGCAGAACAUGGGAUGUUUCCUCAGAAGCGGGCAGCGUCUCCUCUGGAGCACACCGACUAGGUGUCUUAGUGACUGGAUCUGGGGGUCUCUCCCUCCCUCUCUCCUCCCUCUCCUCCCUUCUCCUCCCCUCCUUUUCUAUCCUUCCCCUCCAACAGUCUUUCCCCACCCCACUUCCCCUCUCUUUUGCAGUAUCCCGACUCCCUUUUCCGGCAUCACUGUCUCUCACUUCCCCUCCAUCAUCACUCUGGAACCUCCAUUGGAUUCUGUUUCUCUCCCAUGCUCUUCCUCCCUUACUGACCUCCAAGCAAAUUGUUUCUUCAUAGUAUUUUCCCAGCACUAUUUUCUUUCCAUGGAACUGUGACCAACCACACUGAGCUUUUCAAAAGGCCCUCCCUCAGGCUGGGCGGUGGUGGCACAUGCCUUUAAUCCUAGCACUCUUGAGGCAGAGACAGGCGGAUCUCUGUGAGUUCCAGUGAGUGCCUACAGGGUACUCUGUAGAGUGAGUGCCAGGAAAAGGUGCCAAAGCUACACAGAGAAAUUCUGUCUCGAAAAACAACAACAACAAAAAGGUCCCUCCCUUUGUUAUGGGAUCAACAACUUCACUUGGUCCUAGUAUCUUUUGAGCAUCGUGGAGAUAAAUCUCCUUUUCUUUCAAGGCAUGGCCAGGCAAGAAUUCGCCCCACAAACCUUCAGAGGUUACAAUGAAAAUCAUCUCUUAGGUCAGAAUUCUGUGCAUCUCAUGCUUCAGUCUUGUCUUCCUGUUAACGAACCUACUUGCCCUUUUCCAGCAUGUAUGUUGGUCCUUCCAUGUCCUCUGUCCCUUUGCUUGGUAAAUUGUCACCCUGUUUGGAGGUCCUGCAGUCUGCUAAUCAGCCUGUUCUUCCCUCCAUGGUCAAUAGCUUGUCUUCUGACUCUCCGCCUGCUCUCACAUGUGCAUUGUUGCUAUCCUUUUCUUAAUUGCUCUAUAUUAAACAAAAGAUGUCAUCAUAUCAAACAAGGAGAUCAGACCUGAGAUGAAUUAUGAGUGUGAGUAUGCUCUAUCUGAAGUUGAGCACAGAAACAGCCAUUUCCAAGGGUAAAAGGACUGAUCCGAGUCAUGUUGGUGUCACCAGAAAGACGACAGGGGACAGAUGCGCCUCUCAGAGUGGAGUCCCAACCCUUCCGUGGGACUGAGAUCUUACCUCGCUUCCCUUCCUCUGCAUCAUGUGACCUAGAUCCACUGUUCUUACUCUUUGAGUGAAUGAAUAGUGUGGAUAAUUGUGGGCCAAAUCCAAAGAGAUAGAGUCUUAGAAAGAUGAUUCCCUGAAUAUGCUGGAAAGAAACACACACACACACACCGAUUGUAAUAUGCACACCUUGAAUAGACUCCCAUCAUAUUACUGAAUACUACCCAGUUUACUUAACUCGAUAAAUUCUUCAGGACAUCAUAAUAGUUAUUAUUCAAUGCUUGCUUUUUGUUUUCUCACUAAUUCACUUAUUGUGAUGCUAAAGAUUGAACCCAGGGUCUUUCUCAUGUAGGCAGAUAUUCUACCACUGAACUAUAUUUCCAGCCUCAGAUGCCUAUAUUUGCAAUGAAAAUGGAGACAGUAAAUACAAUAUUAAAAUUUUUUAAAGAAAUAAACCAAAAUAAAGUA